UCUCUAAUUCAAGCAUUUGUGAUGAUUGAGACAGAAACUGCUUGAACAUGGAACUGAUUUGAUGUAUGACCCUUGUUCCACGGCUAAAACUCAUCAUGUGAUCUGAAGAUCAUGCUCGUUGUACAUUUCCAGGAUUCUGAUUUUACAGUUUUAUGGUGCUGUUUGCCAAUAAUACUGCUGUAACAAACACAUCGCUAAUGCAUCUGUAUCGAUAAGAGGUUGAUUCCACGUUGACAUGGU